GAUGAACGCUAGCUACAGGCUUAACACAUGCAAGUCGAGGGGAAACGAUAGAGAAAGCUUGCUUUUCUAGGCGUCGACCGGCGCACGGGUGAGUAACGCGUAUCCAACCUGCCCAUCACUUGGGGAUAACCUUGCGAAAGUAAGACUAAUACCCAAUGACGUCUCUAGAAGACAUCUGAAGGAGAUUAAAGAUUUAUCGGUGAUGGAUGGGGAUGCGUCUGAUUAGCUUGUUGGCCGGGGUAAACGGCCCACCAAGGCGACGAUCAGUAGGGGUUCUGAGAGGAAGGCCCCCANAUUGGAACUGAGCACGGUCCAAACUCCUACGGGAGGCAGCA
rnacentral:rRNA from 1 species